AUACAUUGGUACAAUUUUUGAUAAUGUUUGAGACAAAUAAAUUCAAGGCAUUAAAUUGGUCGUCAGUGAGCAUUGAGGUUGCGACAUAUCAUACAAAUGUCAAAUGUGAGUAGCGUUUUAUAGCAAUGCCCAUUUGUGCUUUUGCCUGUACCUGAGGUUACAUAGGUAAGAUACUUAGUAUCACUCACGUAGGUGAGUAUGUUGCAGAAUAAAAUAUCACCAAAGAAUAAUAAUUAACAAUACGUUAUUAAGAAUUAGCAUAGUAUUGAAAAAUAAAAACAAAG